UGCGGCGCGGCUGAGGCUGCUGCCCCCGGCGGCGUGCCUGGGCAUCGCCACUCCCGCGAGAGGCUCCGGUCGGGCCGGCCAUGGCGGCGCUUCACGGGGCGGCUGCCAAGGCCGGCGCCCCGCCGCAGAUCCCCGACACCCGCCGGGAGCUGGCCGAGCUGGUCAAGCGCAAGCAGGAGCUGGCGGAGACGCUGGCCAACCUGGAGCGGCAGAUCUACGCCUUCGAGGGCAGCUACCUGGAGGACACGCAGAUGUACGGCAACAUCAUCCGAGGCUGGGACCGAUACCUCACCAACCAAAAGAAUUCCAACAGCAAGAAUGAUCGGCGGAACAGGAAGUUCAAAGAAGCUGAGCGCCUCUUCAGCAAAUCCUCGGUCACCUCGGCCGCUGCAGUCAGUGCUCUGGCAGGAGUUCAAGACCAGCUCAUCGAAAAACGGGAGCCUGGGAGCGGGACUGAGAGUGACACUUCCCCAGAUUUCCACAACCAGGAAAAUGAACCAAGUCAGGAGGAAGCGGAAGAGCUGGACGGCUCUGUUCAGGGUGUCAAGCCCCAGAAAGCUGCUUCUUCCACUUCCUCGGGCAGCCACCACAGUAGCCACAAAAAACGGAAGAACAAAAACCGACACAGGUAUGUAUAUUAGGUUAGGCUGACACGUUUUUUAAAAAACAGACAAAAGCAUAACGGAGGAUUGAUCUCAAGUUGAACAAAAAGCCCCGUGCUGACUACUAAGUGCAUCCAUGGCAAAACUUCCAGGAGUGGUUCCCCCUUCUCCCCACCCCAGUAAUCCAGGCCAAGAGACUGAAUAAGCACAAUGCCAACUUCCUCCAAGACUGCACACCUUCUGUUGCUUGUAGCCCAGAUCUGGUGGUGACAAUCCCUGGCUCCUGGUGCAUCUUGCUUCCUUGCUGAUUGGAAAUAGAAGACCUCCACACUUAGUGUUUCACCAUAUGUACACGAACCGUUGAGAGAUGCUCCUGUCAAUGUUUCCUCGUGCCACUUACUGCCUCCUGAUAAUUUUUUUUUGUCUCUUGUAUGUUUGGUGGUCCUUGUGCCACUUCUUGCCCCUUGGUUGAUUUUUUUUUGUCUCAUGUAUGUUGGGUGGUUGUUGGUUGUCUUUUUAAAAUAAAUCUUGGUAUUUAAUUUUC